CGGGUGAGUAAUGUAUGGGGAUCUGCCUGAUGGGGGGGGAUAACUGCUGGAAACGGUAGCUAAUACCGCAUAAUGUCUACGGACCAAAGCGGGGGACCUCCGGGCCUCGCGCCAUCAGAUGAACCCAUAUGGGAUUAGCUUGUAGGUGGGGUAACGGCUCACCUAGGCGACGAUCCCUAGCUGGUCUGAGAGGAUGACCAGCCACACUGGAACUGAGACACGGUCCAG
rnacentral:rRNA from 1 species